GUGCCUAUGGCGCAGUUGGUUAGCGCGCCAGAUUGUGGCUCUGGAGGCCGAGAGUUCGAAUCUCUCUAGGCACCCCA
rnacentral:tRNA from 12 species